ensembl:lncRNA
CUGCUUCUGACUUAUGAACUUACAAAGUUUGCUAUCCUAUACUUGUUUUCUGCUCCAUCAAAUCUCUUAACCAUGCUCCAGAAUUGACAGCGUUUGAUUCUUUCCUGAAAACAAGUCAUAGGAAGACACAACAGUAAAAUCCCAGGGGUGUCCAAGGUUUAAUUCAGUCUCAGUUUGAGAAGUCUGCCUAAAAGCCCGUGCACCAGGAUGCUUGUGAUGACAUGAGCCCCCAUAAAAGUCUGUGAACGUUUCAGCUGAGGACAGUGCCUUGAAGGUGGUGCGACAGUGCCCAUCACUGUGGCAUGAAAACACCGUUCAGAAUUUAGGAGACCAAAGAAGAAAAUGAAGCUUAAUAAACUGUGUUUCUUUCUCUGCCUGGUACAACUUCUGUAAAGCUCUGCCCCCUGACUCCAAGCUCCUCAGCAUCCACCAGUGGCCAUGGGCUAGAAAAUCCAGAGGACAAGACAAGAAGUCCCUCACCUGCAUGCUGCUGACCAGCAGGGCUCUCCAGCAAGGAGGAAGCAAGGAUCUGACCCCUUUCCUUAGAGACAUUGAUAAUAACUUCCUGGAAAGGCCUUUUAUUCCAGGUUUGCAAACCAGCUUUGAGUAUUAUGGCGUAUUUCCAGUAUCGCAUCACUGAUGGGAUCAGGUCAUGGGGGGAAAAUGGAAUAAUUAAGCUUUUUUUUCCCUUGUCAAAGCAACGGUUCACAUGGAAAUGUCUACGGUCACCGGAAUAAACAUUUC